AUUCAAAUUAAUGCUGCCCCAACUGACAACACCAAGAAAUGUUAUAGCCAAAUUCAAAAACAAUCAGAUGAAAGAAAAGAUAUUACAAGCUGCCAAGAAGAAGCCAUUCAGAUACCAUGGAAACACGGUGAGGUUAACACAGGAUCUGGCUGCAUCCACACUGAAGGACCAAAAGGCAUGGAUUACGAUAUUCCAGAAAGCAAGGGAACUAGGUCUACAACCAAGAAUAAAAUACCCAUCAAAACUGACUAUAUUCUUACAGGGGAAAGUAUGGUCGUUCAACACAACAGAAGAGUUCCAAGCAUUCAUAAAUAAAAGACCAGACCUGAACAGAAAAUUUGAUGUCCAACCACAGAACUCAAGAGAAUCAUCAAAAGUUAUACCUUUGUACCUCUGCCCAGUUCGUCUCCAGAGGGUAGAGACCAAGAGUCAUUUGGAGUCCACUUUGCAAAUAGCCAAGGUACUCUGAACCCUAGAGCCACAUGGUAAUCUCCUCCUCGAGUCUCUUCCCAGCAGCAUCUCUCCAACCUAACCCUUGAAGUAGAAGCACACCGUGGGACUGGCUCGAGCUCUCAUUCCCCUUGGAUUAGAAUGGAGAGGAAUCUGAACGUCCUUGCAAAACUUUAAAAUCCCAAACCUUUAGGCCAACAACAGAAGAGGGAAAUUGUUCCACAUCCUGUCGGGAGGAAAUGAAAGGUAUUGGGGGAGAGAAGAAUGUGCUGCGUGGUGUGAAACUUUGCUUCAGAUUCCUGGGGCUGAACAUCUGCCCUGGUUUUGUGCAGUGCUGCCCUGCUUGAGCUGCAAACAAGUACCUCCAGACUCAGCAGCAGCCUGUUCCAAACUGGAGCUGUCUCACUUGGCAGCUGUGGGAAUACCAACAGGAAGCGAGGGACCCUGGAAGAAAGUGUGGGAGUACAUCCUGUGGGGACAGAUAAAGAAUCCCAGUAAGGCUAUGGGAACCUCUUCCGAACAAACAUGAGAGUUUAGAAUUUCCUGAGCCAGGGAUCUGACUUGUGUUUUCAGAGACUCUAGGCAUUUGUUAUUUCUGUUUAUUUGUUUUUUCAAGCGAAUUUGCAUAAACAUAACUGAGCAAAGGAAGAGAGGGAGAGAGGCAAAAUGUAAAUUAUUGAUUUCUUUAAGUUAUUCUUCACAAGGGGCUCAGAAGAUGCCAUGGGAUGGAAUUCAAUCCUUUUGACAUAGAAUUUACUUCAUUGGGCCAUUGAGCUAAAUCUGUCAUUCAAAUUCCUUCCUACCUGUUCUAGGUGGUUCCAAGACAUCAAACCAGGGAGGAUUUAUUCCAUCAGAGACUCCACUCCCUCCUGGGAUCUACUUACAUUUCUGUGUCGUUUUUGGACAGCAGAGACCAUGAUGAUCUUUUAGAAUAUCCCAAUGUGUAUAUAUGCAUUUAUACAUAGAAUGUAUAGUCAAUUUAGUUCAACAAACAUUACAUUAAGUACCUACUAUAUGCCAAGUACUCUUUAAGGGACUGGGAAUAACAAAGACAAAUCAAAAUAAACUCUGUCCUCAAUUGAUUAGAAAUCA
rnacentral:lncRNA from 1 species